UUGGAGGGCAAGUCUGGUGCCAGCAGCCGCGGUAAUUCCAGCUCCAAUAGCGUAUAUUAAAGUUGUUGCAGUUAAAAAGCUCGUAGUUGAAUUUCGGGAUCAAUACGUCGGUCGUGCUUUUUUGGUACGCACUGGCGUCAUUGGUUUCUCCUUUCUGACGAACCAUGAUGUCAUUAAUUUGGUGUUAUGGGGAGUUAGGACUGUUACUUUGAAAAAAUUAGAGUGUUUAAAGCAGGCAUUAGCUUGAAUACAUUAGCAUGGAAUAAUGAAAUAGGACGUUCGAUCCUAUUUUGUUGGUUUCUAGGAUCAACGUAAUGAUUAAUAGGGAUAGUUGGGGGCAUUAGUAUUCAAUUGUCAGAGGCGAAAUUCUUGGAUUUAUUGAAGACUAACUACUGCGAAAGCAUUUGCCAAGGAUGUUUUCAUUAAUCAAGAACGAAAGUUAGGGGAUCGAAGACGAUCAGAUACCGUCGUAGUCUUAACCAUAAACUAUGCCGACUAGGGAUCGGAGGAUGUUAAUUUUUUAAUGACCCAUUCGGCGCCUUACGGGAAAC
rnacentral:rRNA from 1 species